GCUGGCAUAGCUCAGCCGGUAGAGCAGCUGAUUCGUAAUCAGCAGGUCGGGUGUUCGAGUCACCUUGCCAGCUCCA
rnacentral:tRNA from 1 species